UUAACUGAACCUUCGGGGGACGUUAACGGCGUCGAGCGGCGGACGGGUGAGUAAUGCCUGGGAAAUUGCCCUGAUGUGGGGGAUAACCAUUGGAAACGAUGGCUAAUACCGCAUAAUAGCUUCGGCUCAAAGAGGGGGACCUUCGGGCCUCUCGCGUCAGGAUAUGCCCAGGUGGGAUUAGCUAGUUGGUGAGGUAAAGGCUCACCAAGGCGACGAUCCCUAGCUGGUCUGAGAGGAUGAUCAGCCACACUGGAACUGAGACACGGUCCAGACUCCUACGGGAGGCAGCAGUGGGGAAUAUUGCACAAUGGGCGCAAGCCUGAUGCAGCCAUGCCGCGUGUAUGAAGAAGGCCUUCGGGUUGUAAAGUACUUUCAGUCNUGAGGAAGGUGAUGUAGUUA
rnacentral:rRNA from 1 species